CCCCAGCGCCCACAAGUGGGAACCACGUUUAUUGGGUCUAAAGCAUCCGUAGCCGGCUCGGCAAAUGCCCUGUGAAAUCGAUCCGCUCAACGGAUCGGCGUGCAGGGUAGACUACCGAGCUAGGGACCGGAGGAGGAGGGCGGUAUUCCUGAGGGAGCGGUAAAAUGUGAUAAUCUCAGGAGGACACCAAUGGCGAAGGCAGCCCUCUAAUAUGGAUCCGACGGUGAGGGAUGAAAGCUAGGGGA
rnacentral:rRNA from 1 species